AACGAACGCUGGCGGCAGGCUUAACACAUGCAAGCCGAGCGCCCCGCAAGGGGAGCGGCAGACGGGUGAGUAACGCGUGGGAAUCUACCCAUCUCUACGGGAUAACGCAUGGAAACGUGUGCUAAUACCGUAUACGUCCUUCGGGAGAAAGAUUUAUCGGAGAUGGAUGAGCCCGCGUUGGAUUAGCUAGUUGGUGGGGUAAAGGCCUACCAAGGCGACGAUCCAUAGCUGGUCUGAGAGGAUGAUCAGCCACACUGGGACUGAGACACGGCCCAGACUCCUACGGGAGGCAGCAGUGGGGAAUAUUGGACAAUGGGCGCAAGCCUGAUCCAGCCAUGCCGCGUGAGUGAUGAAGGCCUUAGGGUUGUAAAGCUCUUUCACCGGUGAAGAUAAUGACGGUAACCGGAGAAGAAGCCCCGGCUAACUUCGUGCCAGCCGCCGCCGUAAUAC
rnacentral:rRNA from 1 species